GACGAACGCUGGCGGCGUGCUUAACACAUGCAAGUCGAACGGAACGGCCCUGCUUUUGUGGGGUGCUCGAGUGGCGAACGGGUAAGUAACACGUGAGUAACCUACCCUUGACUUUGGGAUAACUUCAGGAAACUGAGGCUAAUACCGGAUAGGAGCUCCUGCUGCAUGGUGGGGGUUGGAAAGUUUCGGCGGUUGGGGAUGGACUCGCGGCUUAUCAGCUUGUUGGUGGGGUAGUGUCUUAGCAAGACCUGGCCACGUAGCAGGCCUGGGAGGGUGAGCGGCCCCAUUGGGACUGAGCUACGGCCCAGCCUCCUACGGGAGGCAGGAGUGCGGAAGAUUGCAUUAUGGGCGGAACGCUGAUGCAGCCACGCCGCGUGGGGUAUGACGGGCAUCGGGUUGUAUUCCGCUUUUGCCUGUGACGAAGUGUUAGUGACGGUAAUGGGUAAAUAAGCACCGGCUAACUACGUG
rnacentral:rRNA from 1 species